rnacentral:rRNA from 1 species
UUAAGCGACUAAGCGUACACGGUGGAUGCCCUGGCAGUCAGAGGCGAUGAAGGACGUGCUAAUCUGCGAAAAGCGUCGGUAAGGUGAUAUGAACCGUUAUAACCGGCGAUGUCCGAAUGGGGAAACCCAGUGUGAUUCGUCACACUAUCGUUAACUGAAUACAUAGGUUAACGAGGCGAACCGGGGGAACUGAAACAUCUAAGUACCCCGAGGAAAAGAAAUCAACCGAGAUUCCCCCAGUAGCGGCGAGCGAACGGGGAGCAGCCCAGAGUCUGAAUCAGCUUGUGUGUUAGUGGAACGGUCUGGAAAGUCCGACGGUACAGGGUGAUAGUCCCGUACACCAAAAUGCACAGGCUGUGAACUCGAAGAGUAGGGCGGGACACGUGGUAUCCUGUCUGAAUAUGGGGGGACCAUCCUCCAAGGCUAAAUACUCCUGACUGACCGAUAGUGAACCAGUACCGUGAGGGAAAGGCGAAAAGAACCCCGGCGAGGGGAGUGAAAAAGAACCUGAAACCGUGUACGUACAAGCAGUGGGAGCACCUUCGGGUGUGACUGCGUACCUUUUGUAUAAUGGGUCAGCGACUUAUAUUCUGUAGCAAGGUUAACCGUAUAGGGGAGCCGCAGGGAAACCGAGUCUUAACUGGGCGUUAAGUUGCAGGGUAUAGACCCGAAACCCGGUGAUCUAGCCAUGGGCAGGUUGAAGGUUGGGUAACACUAACUGGAGGACCGAACCGACUAAUGUUGAAAAAUUAGCGGAUGACUUGUGGCUGGGGGUGAAAGGCCAAUCAAACCGGGAGAUAGCUGGUUCUCCCCGAAAGCUAUUUAGGUAGCGCCUCGUGAAUUCAUCUUCGGGGGUAGAGCACUGUUUCGGCUAGGGGGUCAUCCCGACUUACCAACCCGAUGCAAACUACGAAUACCGAAGAAUGUUAUCACGGGAGACACACGGCGGGUGCUAACGUCCGUCGUGAAGAGGGAAACAACCCAGACCGCCAGCUAAGGUCCCAAAGUCAUGGUUAAGUGGGAAACGAUGUGGGAAGGCACAGACAGCCAGGAUGUUGGCUUAGAAGCAGCCAUCAUUUAAAGAAAGCGUAAUAGCUCACUGGUCGAGUCGGCCUGCGCGGAAGAUGUAACGGGGCUAAACCAUGCACCGAAGCUGCGGCAGCGACACUAUGUGUUGUUGGGUAGGGGAGCGUUCUGUAAGCCUGCGAAGGUGGCCUGUGAGGGUUGCUGGAGGUAUCAGAAGUGCGAAUGCUGACAUAAGUAACGAUAAAGCGGGUGAAAAGCCCGCUCGCCGGAAGACCAAGGGUUCCUGUCCAACGUUAAUCGGGGCAGGGUGAGUCGACCCCUAAGGCGAGGCCGAAAGGCGUAGUCGAUGGGAAACAGGUUAAUAUUCCUGUACUUGGUGUUACUGCGAAGGGGGGACGGAGAAGGCUAUGUUAGCCGGGCGACGGUUGUCCCGGUUUAAGCAUGUAGGCUGGUUAUCCAGGCAAAUCCGGAUAAUCAAGGCUGAGGUGUGAUGACGAGGCACUACGGUGCUGAAGUAACAAAUGCCCUGCUUCCAGGAAAAGCCUCUAAGCAUCAGGUAACAUUAAAUCGUACCCCAAACCGACACAGGUGGUCAGGUAGAGAAUACCAAGGCGCUUGAGAGAACUCGGGUGAAGGAACUAGGCAAAAUGGUGCCGUAACUUCGGGAGAAGGCACGCUGGUGUGUAGGUGAAGUCCCUGCGGAUGGAGCUGAGACCAGUCGAAGAUACCAGCUGGCUGCAACUGUUUAUUAAAAACACAGCACUGUGCAAACACGAAAGUGGACGUAUACGGUGUGACGCCUGCCCGGUGCCGGAAGGUUAAUUGAUGGGGUUAUCCGUAAGGAGAAGCUCUUGAUCGAAGCCCCGGUAAACGGCGGCCGUAACUAUAACGGUCCUAAGGUAGCGAAAUUCCUUGUCGGGUAAGUUCCGACCUGCACGAAUGGCGUAAUGAUGGCCAGGCUGUCUCCACCCGAGACUCAGUGAAAUUGAACUCGCUGUGAAGAUGCAGUGUACCCGCGGCAAGACGGAAAGACCCCGUGAACCUUUACUAUAGCUUGACACUGAACAUUGAGCCUUGAUGUGUAGGAUAGGUGGGAGGCUUUGAAGCGUGGACGCCAGUCUGCGUGGAGCCAACCUUGAAAUACCACCCUUUAAUGUUUGAUGUUCUAACGUUGGCCCCUUACCGGGGUUGCGGACAGUGUCUGGUGGGUAGUUUGACUGGGGCGGUCUCCUCCCAAAGCGUAACGGAGGAGCACGAAGGUUAGCUAAUCCUGGUCGGACAUCAGGAGGUUAGUGCAAUGGCAUAAGCUAGCUUGACUGCGAGCGUGACGGCGCGAGCAGGUGCGAAAGCAGGUCAUAGUGAUCCGGUGGUUCUGAAUGGAAGGGCCAUCGCUCAACGGAUAAAAGGUACUCCGGGGAUAACAGGCUGAUACCGCCCAAGAGUUCAUAUCGACGGCGGUGUUUGGCACCUCGAUGUCGGCUCAUCACAUCCUGGGGCUGAAGUAGGUCCCAAGGGUAUGGCUGUUCGCCAUUUAAAGUGGUACGCGAGCUGGGUUUAGAACGUCGUGAGACAGUUCGGUCCCUAUCUGCCGUGGGCGCUGGAGAAUUGAGGGGGGCUGCUCCUAGUACGAGAGGACCGGAGUGGACGCAUCACUGGUGUUCGGGUUGUCAUGCCAAUGGCACUGCCCGGUAGCUAAAUGCGGAAGAGAUAAGUGCUGAAAGCAUCUAAGCACGAAACUUGCCCCGAGAUGAGUUCUCCCUGAGACUUUAAGUCUCCUGAAGGAACGUUGAAGACGACGACGUUGAUAGGCCGGGUGUGUAAGCGCAGCGAUGCGUUGAGCUAACCGGUACUAAUGAACCGUGAGGCUUAACCUU